AAUGAACGCUGGCGGUAGGCCUAACACAUGCAAGUCGAACGGCAGCACAGUAAGAGCUUGCUCUUACGGGUGUCGAGUGUCGGACGGGUGAGGAAUACAUCGGAAUCUACUUUUUCGUGGGUGAUAACGUAGGGAAACUUCCGCUAAUACCGCAUACAACCUACGGGUGAAAGCAGGGGAUCUUCGGACCUUUCGCGAUUGAAUGAGCCUAUCUCGGAUUAGCUAGUUGGCGGGGUAAAGGCCCACCAAGGCGACGAUCCGUAGCUGGUCUGACAGGAUGAUCAGCCACACUGGAACUGAGACACGGUCGAGACUCCUAGGGGAGGCAGCAGUGGGGAAUAUUGGAGAAUGGGCGAAAGCCUGAUACAGCCAUACCGCGUGGGUGAAGAAGGCCUUCGGGUUGUAAAGCCCUGUUGUUGGGAAAGAAAAGCAGCAGGUUAAUACCCCGCUGUUCUGACGGUACCCAAAGAAUAAGCACCGGCUAACUUCGUG
rnacentral:rRNA from 1 species